rnacentral:rRNA from 1 species
AGGUAAUAGUCCUGUAAGUGAAACGAGAAGACCACGAGUUAUGAUCCAGAGUACCACGAGACACGUGAAACCUUGUGGGAAGCAGGGAGGACCACCUCCCAAGGCUAAAUACUACCUGAUGACCGAUAGUGAAGCAGUACCGUGAGGGAAAGGUGAAAAGAACCCCGGGAGGGGAGUGAAAUAGAACCUGAAACCGUGUGCCUACAACCGCUCAGAGCCCCUUAUGAGGGUGAUGAGGUGCUUUUUGUAGAACGAGCCAACGAGUUACGGUAUGUAGCAAGGUUAAGUACUUAAGGUACGGAGCCGAAGGGAAACCGAGUCUGAAUAGGGCGACUAGUUGCAUGCCGUAGACCCGAAACCGGGUGACCUAUCCAUGGCCAGGUUGAAGCGAGGGUAAAACCUCGUGGAGGACCGAACCACGUUGCUGUUGAAAAAGCAUGGGAUGAGCUGUGGAUAGCGGAGAAAUUCCAAUCGAACCCGGAGAUAGCUGGUUCUCUCCGAAAUAGCUUUAGGGCUAGCGUCGAGUAUGAGUAGUGGAGGUAGAGCACUGAAUGGGCUAGGGGGCAUAGCGCUUACCGAACCUUAUCAAACUCCGAAUGCCACAUACUUUGAGCUCGGCAGUCAGACUACGAAUGAUAAGAUCCGUGGUCAAAAGGGAAACAGCCCAGAUCGUCAGCUAAGGUCCCAAAGUGUAAGUUAAGUGGGAAAGGAUGUGAGAUUUCUAAGACAACUAGGAUGUUGGCUUAGAAGCAGCCAUUCAUUAAAAGAGUGCGUAAUAGCUCACUAGUCGAGAGAUCUUGCGCCGAAAAUGUAACGGGGCUAAACUUACC